rnacentral:rRNA from 1 species
AAUCAACGCUGGCGGCGUGCCUAACACAUGCAAGUCGAACGCGAGAGGGGGCUUCGGCCCCGAUUGAGUGGCGAACGGGUGAGUAACGCGUGGGUGACCUACCUUCGAGUGGGGGAGUAACGUCCCGAAACGGGACGCUAAUACCGCAUAACAUCCUGCUUUUGUAAUGGGUGGAGAUCAAAGCCGGGGAUCGCAAGACCUGGCGCUUGAUGAGGGGCCCGCGUCUGAUUAGCUAGUUGGGAGGU